CUCUGUGCUAAGGUAGCAUAAUAAUUAGUUUUUUAAUUGAAAGCUGGUAUGAAUGGCUGAAUGAAAAAAUUACUGUCUCUUUUUAAUUUUUUAGAAUUUUAUUUUUUAGUUAGAAAGCUUAAAUUUUAUUAAAAGACGAGAAGACCCUAUAGAGUUUUAUAGAAUUGAAUUUUUUUCUUUUCUAGAAUUUUUAAAUUAAAAAUUUAGUUUUAUUUGGUUGGGGCGAUUAAAAAAUUAAUAAAACUUUUUUCUAUUUUUACAUUAAUUUAUGAAUUAUUGAUCCAUUAUUUAUGAUUAUAAGAUAAAAUUACCUUAGGGAUAACAGCGUAAUCUUU
rnacentral:rRNA from 1 species